rnacentral:rRNA from 1 species
GCAAGUAGGACGCACAGUUUAUACCGUAGCUUGCUACACCAUAGACUGUGAGUUGCGAACGGGUGAGUAACGCGUAGGUAACCUACCUAUUAGAGGGGGAUAACUAUUGGAAACGAUAGCUAAUACCGCAUAACAGUAUGUAACACAUGUUAGAUGCUUGAAAGAUGCAAUUGCAUCGCUAGUAGAUGGACCUGCGUUGUAUUAGCUAGUAGGUAGGGUAAUGGCCUACCUAGGCAACGAUACAUAGCCGACCUGAGAGGGUGAUCGGCCACACUGGGACUGAGACACGGCCCAGACUCCUACGGGAGGCAGCAGUAGGGAAUCUUCGGCAAUGGGGGGAACCCUGACCGAGCAACGCCGCGUGAGUGAAGAAGGUUUUCGGAUCGUAAAGCUCUGUUGUUAAGGAAGAACGAGUGUGAGAAUGGAAAGUUCAUGCUGUGACGGUACUUAACCAGAAAGGGACGGCUAACUACGUGCCAGCAGCCGCGGUAAUACGUAGGUCCCGAGCGUUGUCCGGAUUUAUUGGGCGUAAAGCGAG